UGCGUAGGCGGGGCAAUUAGUCAGUGGUGAAAUCCUGCGGCUUAACCGUAGAACUGCCAUUGAUAUUGUUGCCCUUGAGUAUAGUUGAAGUGGGCGGAAUAUGUAAUGUAGCGGUGAAAUGCAUAGAGAUUACAUAGAACACCAAUUGCGAAGGCAGCUCACUAAGCUAUCACUGACGCUGAGGCACGAAAGCGUGGGGAGCGAACAGGAUUAGAUACCCUGGUAGUCC
rnacentral:rRNA from 1 species